GUGGUGAGCUCAGAAUAGGAAGUUUGAAGAAUAACUCUUCUGUUUAAAACAUACCCAAUAGGAAUUGAGUUUACUCCCCAUGGGUGGCAGGGUACUUUGUUCUUCCUGUGACAUAUUCUACACGU
rnacentral:snoRNA from 1 species